UACGUAGGGUGCAAGCGUUGUCCGGAAUUAUUGGGCGUAAAGAGCUUGUAGGCGGUCUGUCGCGUCGGCUGUGAAAACUCGGGGCUCAACCCCGAGCCUGCAGUCGAUACGGGCAGACUAGAGUGCGGUAGGGGAGACUGGAAUUCCUGGUGUAGCGGUGAAAUGCGCAGAUAUCAGGAGGAACACCGGUGGCGAAGGCGGGUCUCUGGGCCGUAACUGACGCUGAGGAGCGAAAGCGUGGGGAGCAAACAGG
rnacentral:rRNA from 1 species